GACGAACGCUGGCGGCGUGCUUAACACAUGCAAGUCGAACGGAAAGGCCCUGCUUUUGUGGGGUGCUCGAGUGGCGAACGGGUGAGUAACACGUGAGUAACCUGCCCUUGACUUUGGGAUAACUUCAGGAAACUGGGGCUAAUACCGGAUAGGAGCUCCUGCUGCAUGGUGGGGGUUGGAAAGUUUCGGCGGUUGGGGAUGGACUCGCGGCUUAUCAGCUUGUUGGUGGGGUAGUGGCUUACCAAGGCUUUGACGGGUAGCCGGCCUGAGAGGGUGACCGGCCACAUUGGGACUGAGAUACGGCCCAGACUCCUACGGGAGGCAGCAGUGGGGAAUAUUGCACAAUGGGCGGAAGCCUGAUGCAGCAACGCCGCGUGCGGGAUGACGGCCUUCGGGUUGUAAACCGCUUUCGCCUGUGACGAAGCGUGAGUGACGGUAAUGGGUAAAGAAGCACCGGCUAACUACGUGCCAGCAGCCGCGGUGAUACGUAGGGUGCGAGCGUUGUCCGGAUUUAUUGGGCGUAAAGGGCUCGUAGGUGGUUGAUCGCGUCGGAAGUGUAAUCUUGGGGCUUAACCCUGAGCGUGCUUUCGAUACGGGUUGACUUGAGGAAGGUAGGGGAGAAUGGAAUUCCUGGUGGAGCGGUGGAAUGCGCAGAUAUCAGGAGGAACACCAGUGGCGAAGGCGGUUCUCUGGGCCUUUCCUGACGCUGAGGAGCGAAAGCGUGGGGAGCGAACAGGCUUAGAUACCCUGGUAGUCCACGCUGUAAACGGUGGGUACUAGGUGUGGGGUCCAUUCCACGGGUUCCGUGCCGUAGCUAACGCUUUAAGUACCCCGCCUGGGGAGUACGGCCGCAAGGCUAAAACUCAAAGGAAUUGACGGGGCCCCGCACAAGCGGCGGAGCAUGCGGAUUAAUUCGAUGCAACGCGUAGAACCUUACCUGGGUUUGACAUGGAUCGGGAGUGCUCAGAGAUGGGUGUGCCUCUUUUGGGGUCGGUUCACAGGUGGUGCAUGGCUGUCGUCAGCUCGUGUCGUGAGAUGUUGGGUUAAGUCCCGCAACGAGCGCAACCCUUGUUCACUGUUGCCAGCACGUUAUGGUGGGGACUCAGUGGAGACCGCCGGGGUCAACUCGGAGGAAGGUGGGGAUGACGUCAAGCCAUCAUGCCCCUUAUGUCCAGGGCUUCACGCAUGCUACAAUGGCUGGUACAGAGAGUGGCGAGCCUGUGAGGGUGAGCGAAUCUCGGAAAGCCGGUCUCAGUUCGGAUUGGGGUCUGCAACUCGACCUCAUGAAGUCGGAGUCGCUAGUAAUCGCAGAUCAGCAACGCUGCGGUGAAUACGUUCCCGGGGCU
rnacentral:rRNA from 1 species